rnacentral:rRNA from 1 species
AGCAGCCGCGGUAAUUCCAGCUCCAAUAGCGUAUAUUAAAGUUGUUGCAGUUAAAAAGCUCGUAGUUGAAUUUCGGGAUCAAAUUGUCGGUCGUGCCUCGGUACGCACUGGUAUUAUUGGUUCCUACCUUCUGAAGAACCGCGAUGUCAUUAAUUUGGUGUCGUGGGGAAUCAGGACUGUUACUUUGAAAAAAUUGAGUGUUUAAAGCAGGCUUACGCUUGAAUACAUUAGCAUGGAAUAAUGAAAUAGGACGUUUGAUUCUAUUUUGUUGGUUUCUAGGAUUGACGUAAUGAUUAAUAGGGAUAGUUGGGGGCAUUAGUAUUCAAUUGUCAGAGGUGAAAUUCUUGGAUUUAUUGAAGACUAACUACUGCGAAAGCAUUUGCCAAGGAUGUUUUCAUUAAUCAAGAACGAAAGUUAGGGGAUCGAAGACGAUCAGAUACCGUCGUAGUCUUAACCAUAAACUAUGCCGACUAGGGAUCGGAUGAUGUUAAUUUUUAAUGUACUCAUUCGGC